UAAAGCUUAGUGUGGUAGGGUGUUCAAUGUUCAAUGUAUUUGUUGUUGUGUUUUUGCUUCCGAUUUUUGAAGCAGAAAAUGUGAGAAGGACAAUGAAAGAGAGUGUUCACUGGGAAAGAAAGCUGUUUGGAGUGUACUGAGUGGAAGCUAGGGGGAUUCAUGUUUGGUAUGCAAUUGCAUUGGCGAUCGGUGCAAAAUUUGUUCCUUUACAUAAACCACAGAAGCUGCCAGCCAAAGGAAUGUGACUUGAUUGAGAAUUUUGGAUCCAAAGGCAAAGGCAAAUAAGUGUAGCCUUUGCCAAAGGCAUCAAAUUUGUCUGAUGAAGAUAUAGAUGCUAACUUUGAGAUUAUUCCGUGGACUAGAUUUAUUUAUAUUGCUUCAUUUAAAUUGAGAAAGUAUUUGUUUUAGUGGCUAGUUUAUUUUCUAUUUUUAUAUCAUUAGCUAUGUUUAAGAAUUGACAUUUGGUUGUUAUUAGUGUAUUUGUGAAGACACAUUUUUGAAUUUUAAUUUUCUAAGCUUAUUUUUUGUAAUUUUAUAUUUAUAUUUAAUUGUG